rnacentral:rRNA from 1 species
UACGGGGGGGGCAAGCGUUGUUCGGAAUUACUGGGCGUAAAGGCUCGUAGGCGGCCAACUAAGUCGGAUGUGAAAUCCCCAGGCUUAACCUGGGAACUGCGUCCGAUACUGGUUGGCUUGAAUCCGGGAGAGGGAUGUGGAAUUCCAGGUGUAGCGGUGAAAUGCGUAGAUAUCUGGAGGAACACCGGUGGCGAAGGCGACGAUCCUGGA